CCUACGGGUGGCAGCAGUGAGGAAUAUUGGUCAAUGGACGAAAGUCUGAACCAGCCAAGUAGCGUGAAGGAUGACUGCCCUAUGGGUUGUAAACUUCUUUUAUAAGGGAAUAAAACGAGGCACGUGUGCCUUUUUGCAUGUACUUUAUUACUAAGGAUCGGCUCACUCCGUGCCAGCAGCCGCGGGAAUACGGAGGAUCCGAGCGUUAUACGGAUUUUUUGGGGUUAAAGGGAGCGUAGGUGGCUUGUUAAGUCAGUUGUGAAAGUUUGCGGCUCAACCGUAAAAUUGCAGUUGAAACUGGAAGUCGUGAGUACAGUAGAGGUGGGCGGAAUUCGUGGUGUAGCGGUGAAAUGCUUAGAUAGCAUGAAGAACUCCGAUUGCGAAGGCAGCUCACUGGACUGCAACUGACACUGAUGCUCGAAAGUGUGGGUAUCAAACAGGAUUAGAUACCCUUGUAGUC
rnacentral:rRNA from 1 species